GUAAGGAAUAUUGGUCAAUGGACGCAAGUCUGAACCAGCCAUGCCGCGUGAAGGAUGAAGGCCCUCUGGGUUGUAAACUUCUUUUAUCUGGGACGAAAAAAGGGGAUUCUUCCUCACUUGACGGUACCAGAGGAAUAAGCACCGGCUAACUCCGUGCCAGCAGCCGCGGUAAUACGGAGGGUGCAAGCGUUAUCCGGAUUUACUGGGUUUAAAGGGUGCGUAGGUGGGUAGGUAAGUCAGUGGUGAAAUCUUCGAGCUUAACUCGGAAACUGCCAUUGAUACUAUUUAUCUUGAAUACUUUGGAGGUAAGCGGAAUAUGUCAUGUAGCGGUGAAAUGCUUAGAUAUGACAUAGAACACCAAUUGCGAAGGCAGCUUACUACACAGUUAUUGACACUGAGGCACGAAAGCGUGGGGAUCAAACAGGAUUAGAAACCCUUGUAGUCC
rnacentral:rRNA from 1 species